rnacentral:misc_RNA from 1 species
GGCGGUUACGCGGCGGCGAAUUUGAACGGAGUUUAUGGAUUGGCGCAGUGUUGGAGAACUUUGAGUACAAGUGGUUGUAAAAAGUGUUUGGACAAAGCAAGUAGAGAUAUCAAAGGGUGUUUGCCUAGUAGAGAUGCUAGAGCUUUGAUUGCUGGCUGUUAUUUGAGAUAUUCUACACAGAAAUUUCUCAAUGAUCCCUCCGGGAACAGCAGUGGUGGAAUAAGCAAAGGGGUGAUAGUAGC